rnacentral:rRNA from 1 species
UACGAAGGGGGCUAGCGUUGCUCGGAAUCACUGGGCGUAAAGGGUGCGUAGGCGGGUCUUUAAGUCAGGGGUGAAAUCCUGGAGCUCAACUCCAGAACUGCCUUUGAUACUGAAGAUCUUGAGUUCGGGAGAGGUGAGUGGAACUGCGAGUGUAGAGGUGAAAUUCGUAGAUAUUCGCAAGAACACCAGUGGCGAAGGCGGCUCACUGGCCCGAUACUGACGCUGAGGCGCGAAAGCGUGGGGAGCAAACAGGAUUAAGAUAC